UAAACCAAAGUAAGUAUAGAAUUUGGUUUGCCAAAACUGUGGAAGAUAACUUGCUUUCCUUUCUGGAAACCAGUCCUUUGGCUAUCACUGAGAGACGUCUCCACAAUCCUGGUUAGAAUACAGAGUAUAGGCAGUGGUGGAUUUAUAGGGGGGGGGGGGGGGGGGGGGGGGGGGGGGGGGUGCACAGGGGCGUGGCCUUGGUCAACAGGGGUGCAAGGUACAGCUAAUAGGCAAUUCCAGCUUUUAGUUUAUGCCUGCAGGGGAUGAUGGGAAGUAAGGUAUCAUAGUGCUGAUUAUGCUGAAAAAUUGCAAUAAAAACUACCAAAAGAACCGAAAUAUUUCAAUAUUUACAAGUAUAAGCUAUCACUCCGUGUUUACACGGCCACCAUUUCUAUUUUUCAGCAUAAUCAGCAAUAUGAUACCUUACUUCCCAUCGUCCCUUGCACGCAUAAACUAAAAGCUGGAAUUGCCUAUUCAAUUAAGGCUGUCCUUUCAAAGUCAAAACUCCUCGACCUCUAAGCGCGUAAAGCACGAUGGACAUGAUGCAUACAGUAUGUAAUUGUUACGUGGUUGCUACGUUCCUCGGAUUUCACCUUUCUCGGAUUUUAUUUGCUCGUCUAAACCCAAUUAGCCUUUUUCCCAAAAGAAAUCACAGUGCAUUCUGGGAUCGUUUGGAGGGACAAAAUAUAUGGUGACAGGCGUCAAUUAUGUGAAAGAGUAGAAGUAUCUACAAUCAAAAUCAACUUUUUAGACGACCAGACUACCAAAAAUGAAAUAUCUCCUUUUUACAUUAAACAGUUAAUUUAAAUGUGUGCUGCCAUAUUUCUUGUCCCACCAACAUGGGAUUCGCGCGACUAGACCUAGGACUUUGGGAAAUGGCUAAUUCAAUAGCAAACCUGUCAGAAUUCAUUGGAUUUUUAAACUUUUUUAGUGUGAAAGAAAGUUGUUUGUGUUAUGUGCUUGACUCCUUUGGGAAUUAAAUUCACUUGAUUAACGCAAAUGUCUAACGUUCUAUUAACCGUGGUCUAACAUGUACGCAUAAACAAUCUCAUAAUAAUAAUGCUUUUCGUACUAGAGGUCGAGGUUGUGCAGUUUUCUCUGGACAACCUUAAUUGAAUUAGCUGUGAAGUGUGUAUAUCUUAAAUGUUUGUAUUGUUUGAGGUAUUCAAUGUUUGUUAUCUGUCUUAGACUAACUUAAGUUUUGGAAUUCAACGCAGCACCAAGGCACUAGUUCAACAAACUAAUAAGUACAAUAUUAAUAAUGAAUUUAGUUUGAUAUUUUGAUUGAAUAAAGCAAAUUCUUAAUUUCGCUGCAAACGUCCAACAGUAUAAGUAUUUGAUAAUGAAAAUAAAAAUUAGAAAAGCAAUCAAAUAUUGAAAUGUGAAAAAAUUCCAUUUUCUCUUUCACACAAUCACAGUAUCAAGAGAAUCUGGGAUUUAAAUUUUAUAUAAUUAUUAAAUUAUAUUUAUUCAACGUAUCUGUAAAUUGUAACCGAGAAACUACUACCGUCGAUUGCAACUUUAAGCGGAAACUCGUUAUGAGAAAACGCGAUCUAAUUGGACAAGAAACAUAACACGUUUGGACUUCAAAAACUUUACAUGAUUUUGCUGGAAACAUUUGACGUUUUACAAUUAUUUUUCCCGCGAAAACGUAACAAAGUUAGUACAAACAUUGCAAACAAUACAGAAUUUGUCCACUAUAAACGCAAAACUCACAAAUUUACAUUAUGUUACAACUUCACUAAGGCUUGUUUCAUACGCCGAAUUUAAUUCAGACGAAGUUAAUCACGAAUUUAGUGUUUGCAAGCUAAUCCCCGCCCAAUAUGAAUGUGUUUCUAAAUUUGGAAUAUUGACAGUGGAAACGUAAAUGUUUGCAGUAUAAUCAUGUGAUGUUUGAAGUCCAAACAAAUCCUGUUUGACAGCCAAUUGGAUCGCGUUUUCUCAUGACACGUUUCUCAGUGCUUAGGCCAAAAAAAAAUAUGUGGGUUUCCGGUUUCUUCUUAUAAAAACUUAGGUAGGGGAGGUCGGUUUUAACUUUUUUUUUAAUUUUCCGAAUAAGCGGACGCCAUUUUGUUUAGUCAGUGCUUCCACAUCCAAAAAUUACAUUUCCCUAAUAUUGCCUCAAAUUUCAAUUUUCCACAAACUUUUCCUCUAAGUGGAAACACUUACAAGCAUGAUCCAAUAAAAAAGUUUGGGGUCGGGAUUUCGACGUCCAAAAGUUAGGUAGGGUCGGGAAACCCACAUAUUUUUUUUUGGCCUUAGUUGCAAUCGACGGUAGAUGCAUUUUCAUGACAGUACGCUGCUGACCAGCACUGGUUUCGUUGUGCUUGGCUGCUCGCCCAGCACCCCCCUAAAAAAACCUUUCUGGAUCCACCACUGAGUAUAUGAACCAAUAGGAUUGCAUAAUGACAUGUAUAGGCGAUGGUGGAACCCAUCCAUAUAUGCCAAUGAUGCAAGCGGAAAACUGCUUGGAAUAUUAAUAUGAACAAGUUUGCAUAGUACAUCUACAUAUUCUCAGCUAGCAAUAAAAAGUUCUCAAUUGAGAACUUACUCUUAGCGAUAGCCUUUAUAGUAUUAUCUCAGCUAUGUGGUAUGCUAGCUUGUCAGUAUGCAAGGUUGCAAAGUAGUUCUAAAUGUUUGCCGACAACCUAGAUAGUAUCUCUGUAUAGUACAUCGUUAAAUGUUCUCUGCCGCAAACGACAAAAACUUACGAGCAAAAAUCUCCUCAGAUUUCGUCCAAGGCUGCAGACUGUUCUUCGACGAGGUGGUCUUCAUGAAUCUGUUGAAGAGCCUGUUGUUGUUGCUGCUGUUGUUGUUUGUUGCCCUUGGCGUGGGUUAAAAUGUGCGACUUUAGGUUGGUCGAUUGUGCAAAUCUCUUGUUACACGAGUCAAACGGACAGACAUAAGGACGAUCGCCAGUAUGGAUACGGACGUGUGUCCGCAAGUUGAAGUCAAGUGAAAACCGUUUGCCACAGCCUUCAAAUGUGCACUGCAACAAAUAAACUAUUAGACCACAAGCAGG
rnacentral:lncRNA from 1 species